rnacentral:rRNA from 1 species
UGGGGAAUAUUGGACAAUGGGCGCAAGCCUGAUCCAGCCAUGCCGCGUGAGUGAUGAAGGCCUUAGGGUUGUAAAGCUCUUCGCCGGUGAAGAUAAUGACGGUAACCGGAGAAGAAGCCCCGGCCAACUUCGUGCCAGCAGCCGCGGUAAUACGAAGGGGGCUAGCGUUGCUCGGAAUCACUGGGGCGUAAAGCGCACGUAGGCGGAUCGUUAAGUCAGGGGUGAAAUCCUGGAGNUCAACUCCAGAACUGCCCUUGAUACUGGCGAUCUCGAGUUCGAGAGAGGUUGGUGGAACUCCGAGUGUAGAGGUGAAAUUCGUAGAUAUUCGGAAGAACACCAGUGGCGAAGGC